rnacentral:ncRNA from 1 species
UUGAGCGUAAUGCGGGGAAACUCGCACGUUGCGUUCUUAGCGGACUGGCUCCCAGUAAUGGGGGACAAACGCUGC